GACGAACGCUGGCGGCGUGCUUAACACAUGCAAGUCGAACGGAAAGGCCCUGCUUUUGUGGGGUGCUCGAGUGGCGAACGGGUGAGUAACACGUGAGUAACCUGCCCUUGACUUUGGGAUAACUUCAGGAAACUGGGGCUAAUACCGGAUAGGAGCUCCUGCUGCAUGGUGGGGGUUGGAAAGUUUCGGCGGUUGGGGAUGGACUCGCGGCUUAUCAGCUUGUUGGUGGGGUAGUGGCUUACCAAGGCUUUGACGGGUAGCCGGCCUGAGAGGGUGACCGGGCAGAGUGGGAUGGAGAUACGGCCCAGAGGGCGACGGGGGGCAGCAGUGGGGAAUAUUGGAAAAUGGGCGGAAGCCUGAUGAAGCAACGCCGCGUGGGGGAUGACGGCCUUCGGGGUGGAAACCGAUUUCGCCUGUGACGAAGCGUGAGUGACGGUAAUGGGUAAAGAAGCAAAGGCUAACUACGUG
rnacentral:rRNA from 1 species